rnacentral:rRNA from 1 species
UGGGGAAUCUUCCGCAAUGGACGAAAGUCUGACGGAGCAACGCCGCGUGAGUGAUGACGGCCUUUGGGUUGUAAAGCUCUGUUAAUCGGGACGAAUGGUUCUUGUGCGAAUAGUGCAAGGAUUUGACGGUACCGGAAUAGAAAGCCACGGCUAACUACGUGCCAGCAGCCGCGGUAAUACGUAGGUGGCAAGCGUUGUCCGGAAUUAUUGGGCGUAAAGCGCGCGCAGGCGGAUUGGUCAGUCUGUCUUAAAAGUUCGGGGCUUAACCCCGUGAUGGGAUGGAAACUGCCAAUCUAGAGUAUCGGAGAGGAAAGUGGAAUUCCUAGUGUAGCGGUGAAAUGCGUAGAUAUUAGGAAGAACACCAGUGGCGAAGGCGACUUUCUGGACGAAAACUGACGCUGAGGCGCGAAAGCCAGGGGAGCGAACGGG